UACGGAGGGUGCAAGCGUUAUCCGGAUUUACUGGGUUUAAAGGGUGUGUAGGUGGAUAUUUAAGUCAGAGGUGAAAUCUCCGGGCUCAACCCGGAAACUGCCUUUGAUACUAUUUAUCUUGAAUUUUGUUGAGGUUGGCAGAAUAUAUCAUGUAGCGGUGAAAUGCAUAGAUAUGAUAUAGAAUACCGAUUGCGUAGGCAGCUGGCUGAACAAAUAUUGACGCUGAGCCACGAAAGCGUGGGUAGCGAACAGG
rnacentral:rRNA from 1 species